UACAGAGACAUCAAGCGUUAUCCGGUUUCAUUGGGCGUAAAGCGUUCCGAUCGGUGGUAUAGUGUGUCUAAAGUGAAAGACCGCAGCUUAACUGCGUGUUUGCUUUAGAAACUAUUAUACUAGAAGAGUAAAGAGGUAGCUGGAACUCUACAAGUAGGGGUGAAAUCCGUUGAUAUGUAGGGGAACACCAAAAGCGAAGGCAGGCUACUGGGUACUUCUUGACACUGCUAGGACGAAAGCGUGGGGAGAGAAUGGG
rnacentral:rRNA from 1 species